rnacentral:lncRNA from 1 species
CAAUACUUAGGCAAAAAGUCAAAAAAGAGGCCUAAACCCGUCUCGGCCGUCGUAAUGACACACAAAUGCAUGCAUAGCAUUGCGUAGGUAUUAGACACGCGAUACAACUUACGGGACUAGAUUCUGACUUACGGAGGCCAAGUUAUCAGCCCGUAGGGAAAACUGACCAACACUUAGGAAAAUUUCGAAAAAGAGGUCAAAACCCGCCUCGGCCGUCGUAACAACAC